GGCCGCGGGAAUUCCUUUCAGGCCUAACACAUGCAAGUCGAACGGUGACGAUGCCUUUUGCUUCAUCUGAUCAGUGGCGAACGGGUGAGUAACACGUGAGUAACCUGCCCCUCACUCUGGGAUAACCUCGGGAAAUCGUGGCUAAUACCGGAUAUGAGUUUCCACCGCAUGGUGGUUCCUGGAAAGUUUUUCGGUGAGGGAUGGACUCGCGGCCUAUCAGUUUGUUGGUGAGGUAAUGGCUCACCAAGGCGAUGACGGGUAGCCGGCCUGAGAGGGCGACCGGCCACACUGGGACUGAGACACGGCCCAGACUCCUACGGGAGGCAGCAGUGGGGAAUAUUGCACAAUGGGCGAAAGCCUGAUGCAGCGACGCCGCGUGAGGGAUGACGGCCUUCGGGUUGUAAACCUCUUUCAGCAGGGAAGAAGCGAAAGUGACGGUACCUGCAGAAGAAGCGCCGGCUAACUACGUGCCAGCAGCCGCGGUAAUACGUAGGGCGCAAGCGUUGUCCGGAAUUAUUGGGCGUAAAGAGCUUGUAGGUGGCUUGCCGCGUCUGCCGUGAAAACCCGAGGCUCAACCUCGGGCGUGCGGUGGGUACGGGCAGGCUAGAGUGCGGUAGGGGAGACUGGAACUCCUGGUGUAGCGGUGAAAUGCGCAUAUAUCAGGAAGAACACCGA
rnacentral:rRNA from 1 species